AAUGAACGCUGGCGGCAUGCCUAACACAUGCAAGUCGAGCGAGCGGCGGACGGGUGAGUAAUGUAUGGGGAUCCGCCCGAUAGAUGGGGAUAACUACUGGAAACGGUGGCUAAUCCCGCCUACUAUCGGAUUAAACCAUAAGGGAUUAGCUAGUAGGUGGGUUAAAGGCUCACCUAGGCGACGAGCUCUAGCGGGUCUGAGAGGAUGACCAGCCACACUGGGACUGAGACACGGCCCAGACUCCUACGGGAGGCAGCAGUGGGGAAUAUUGCACAAUGGGCGCAAGCCUUAUGCAGCCAUGCCGCGUGUAUGAAGAAGGCCUUAGGGUUGUAAAGUACUUUCAGCGGGGAGGCGUUACCCACAGAAGAAGCACCGGCUAACUCCGUGCCAGCCGCCGCGGUAAUAC
rnacentral:rRNA from 1 species